rfam:Hordeum vulgare subsp. vulgare, WGS project CAJW01000000 data, contig: morex_contig_66509
CAAAUACUCCCUCCGUCCGAAAAUACUUGUCCGAGGAAUGGAUGUAUCUAGAUGUNNNUUAGUUCUAGAUACAUCCAUUUCUAUUCAUUUUUGCGACAAGGAAUUCCUGACGGAGGGAGUAGUAA